rnacentral:rRNA from 1 species
GAUGAACGCUGGCGGCGUGCCUAAUACAUGCAAGUCGAGCGAACAGAUGAGGAGCUUGCUCCUCUGACGUUAGCGGCGGACGGGUGAGUAACACGUGGAUAACCUACCUAUAAGACUGGGAUAACUUCGGGAAACCGGAGCUAAUACUGGAUAAUAUAUUGAACCGCAUGGUUCAAUAGUGAAAGACGGUUUUGCCGUCACUUAUAGAUGGAUCCGCGCCGCAUUAGCUAGUUGGUAAGGUAACGGCUUACCAAGGCAACGAUGCGUAGCCGACCUGAGAGGGUGAUCGGCCACACUGGAACUGAGACACGGUCCAGACUCCUACGGGAGGCAGCAGUAGGGAAUCUUCCGCAAUGGGCGAAAGCUUGACGGAGCAACGCCGCGUGAGUGAUGAAGGUCUUCGGAUCGUAAAACUCUGUUAUUAGGGAAGAACAAAUGUGUAAGUAACUAUGCACGUCUUGACGGUACCUAAUCAGAAAGCCACGGCUAACUACGUG